rnacentral:rRNA from 1 species
AUGAUAGCAAACUCAGUCCAUGAGAUCUUUGUUGCUGCCAACAUGAAUACAAUUGAAACAUAUGUCAUAUACUUUGAGAUUGACGUCUUUAUUUUUGUUGCUACCAUGUACUCCCUCCGUUCCAAAUUACUCCCGCGACAAGUAAUUCGGAACGGAGGGAGUACAUCACAGGCACCUGUAUAUCAUCUACAACUCAAUAUAUCUUGUUCUUGUCCUAGCUACAAGGAGGACGAUCAGGACAAAAGUAAGAUAGAAGGGAAAUCAUCUACAACAGGCACACACCAACGUACCUUGGUCUUGUUCUCGCUAGAGAGGACGAGUGGGAGGAACAAGGGAGACGAGCAGGAGGAGGCGCCGAGGAAAUUGUCAACACGUUCUGAUUGGCCACAACGUUAG